UGGAGGCUAUAUACAGGGUAUUACGGUACAGAGUCAAUGUGGAGGCUAUAUACAGGGGGUACUGGUACAGAGUCAAUGUGGAGGCUAUAUACAGGGGGUACCGAUACAGAGUCAAUGUGGAGGCUUUAUACAGGGGGUACCGUACAGAGUCAAUGUGGAGGCUAUAUACAGGGUAUUACGGUACAGAGUCAAUGUGGAGGCUAUAUACAGGGUAUUACGGUACAGAGUCAAUGUGGAGGCUAUAUACAGGGGGUACCGGUACAGAGUCAAUGUGGAGGCUAUAUACAGGGGGUACCGGUACAGAGUCAAUGUGGAGGCUAUAUACAGGGGUUACCGGUACAGAGUCAAUGUGGAGGCUAUAUACAGGGGGUACCGGUACAGAGUCAAUGUGGAGGCUAUAUACAGGGGGUACCGGUACAGAGUCAAUGUGGAGGCUAUAUACAGGGGGUACCGGUACAGAGUCAAUGUGGAGGCUAUAUACAGGAGUUACCGGUACAGAGUCAAUGUGGAGGCUAUAUACAGGG
rnacentral:lncRNA from 1 species